UUAGAAGUAGAGAAAAGGACGGGUUUUGGUGGAAAUAAAAUCUCAGCCGAAUUGCUGGAAGUGGGAAUGAAAGAGGUGGAAAAUGGAGGGGAUAGUACUAAAUUAUUGAUGAUGGGAUAGAUGAAGCGGGUAUUAUCUGGUUUCAUCUCCUCACUCGCACCACCCAUUCCUUUCUCUUUCGUUCUUCAUCAGAGAAAAGGGGAAAAAGCCCAUAGAUUUCUAUCAUCAACACUGCUUCCUUCCUCUCUCGUUCUUAUCUUUAGUGAGAGAAAAAACCCGUAGAUAUCUUCCCUUAUCACUACAUUUUCCCCCCCUCUCCCAUUCUCAUCUUCAGAAUUGGGGGAAAAGAGGCAUUUGUUAAAAGGGCUAAAGAUCUCUCUUUUUAGCUUGUCGGUGUUCAGAUCUUCCCAUUUCUGACCAUCGUUAUCACGUAGUUGCAAUUCAAGCAAAAAGUAAGGUAUGGUUGAUGGUGCAAAGAAGCUUGAUGCCAACAAAUCUAUGACUCAUUCACCAUCAAGUGAAAGGGUAAAAGCUUCCAAUUCUAAGCUGAAAGAUUAUUUCAACAAGCCUCUCAUACAUUAUGAGAAUUAACAAAUUAUCGUAGGGGAUGAUAAAGAAAAAGGAGACUUAACUUCAGAUAUUUUUUUCUAGUUUUGGGUCUUGUAAAUCCAUCCCUAUUUCAGACGAAGAGGACGAAUUUCCUACACCUAGUUCAGGGAAACAUGAUAGCAAUAUUGAUGAUGAGCAAGUUGAAAAUGUCACUUAUACUCCCACACAACCUACUAACUUCAAGUCAACAAGUGGUGCUAACACUAGCAUUAAACCAAAA